CAGUCGCCGCGGUAACACGAAGGGUGCAAGCGUUAAUCGGAAUUACUGGGCGUAAAGCGUGCGUAGGCGGUUUGUUAAGUCUGCUGUGAAAUCCCCGGGCUCAACCUGGGAAUGGCAGUGGAUACUGGCAAGCUAGAGUGUGUCAGAGGAUGGUGGAAUUCCCGGUGUAGCGGUGAAAUGCGUAGAGAUCGGGAGGAACAUCAGUGGCGAAGGCGGCCAUCUGGGACAACACUGACGCUGAGGCACGAAAGCGUGGGGAGCAAACAGGAUUAGAUACCCCUGUAGUCCCUGUCUCUUAUAC
rnacentral:rRNA from 1 species